UAAUUCUGGAAUCAAAUAGCACAUGAAGAUU
rnacentral:piRNA from 1 species